rnacentral:rRNA from 1 species
CGGACGGGUGGAGUAACGCGUGGAUAACCUGCCUUUCACAGGGGGAGUAACAGCUGGAAACGGCUGCUAAUACCGCAUGAGCCUCUUUUAUCGCAUGAGGAGAGAGGGAAAGAGAAAUCGGUGAGAGAUGGAUCCGCGUCCGAUUAGCUAGUUGGAGGGGUAACAGCCCACCAAGGCGACGAUCGGUAGCCGACCUGAGAGGGUGGACGGCCACAUUGGGACUGAGACACGGCCCAAACUCCUACGGGAGGCAGCAG